AGUAGAGGCACUUCCAUGUCGUUGUUCUUGAAGCUGUGGUGACUGUGGGAUCAGAAUCUUUGAGUGUGAGAAAUUUUACAGAUAGCCACAAUGGCUGAAAAUGGACAUAAUGAAAAAAAAAAGGGCUGCUCUGGAGGCCAAUAUCUGUCAUCAAAUUGGGCAUUAUUUUGGAGACUUCAAUUUGCCACAAGACAAGUUUUUAAAGGAACAGAUCAAAUUGGAUGAAGGCUGGGUAUCUUUGGACAUAAUGAUAAAAUUCAACAGGCUAAGCCAGCUGACAGCAGAUGUCAACGUAAUUGCACAGGCACUGAGCAAAACUAAGGCAAAACUCAUGGAAGUGAGUGCAGACAAAAGUAAAAUCAGAAGAUCUCCAAGAAGACCCCCUCCUAAAGUAACAGAGGAGCACAAGAAUGAUGUGAAAACCAGAUCUGUUUAUAUUAAAGGCUUCCCAACUGAUGCAACUGUUGAUAAUAAAGGUCAAAUACUGAAUAUUCAGAUGUGAAGAACAUUGCCCAAAACAUUGAAGGGGUUAAUAUUUGCUGUGUUUAAUAGUAUUCAGUCUGCAAAGAAGUUUGUGGAGACCCUUGGCCAGAAGUACAAAGACAGAAGCCUGCUAACACUCUUUAAGAAAGAUUACUGUGCAAACAAAACAAAACAAAACACACACACACACACACAAAAGCAAAACAAGAACAUGAAGGGAGACACGGGUCAGGAAGUACCCAAACAAGACCUCUAGAAGGAAGGGUGGGAUGCUUACUUAAGUUUUUGGGUGACUUGGAAGACCAGGCCUGUAGAGAAGAUUUACACAUCCUUUUCUCAAAUCACAGUGAAAUAAAAUGGAUUGACUUGGUCAGAGGAGCAAGAGAGGGAAUAAUUUUCUUUAAAGGAAAAGCUAAGGAAGCACUUGAGAAAGCUGGAAGCGCAAGUAAGGGUUAACCUACAGUCAAGGCACAAAAAGGUGACUUGGAAAGUGCUAGAAGGACAUAUGGAAAAAGAAGCAAUGAAAAAAAAACCUUGGAGGAUGAGCAGGAAUCCCUAAACAAAUGGAAGUCAACAGGAGGCCGCAGCUUUAAAGGAAGGGAAACAGAGUUGCCUGUGCUGGGACACCCAAAGGAAGAGGACAGCUUCAGGAGAGGAUAAGAGUCGGUGAUGGUGAUGAUUGACGUGGUUCAGGACCAAUGAAAAGAGCCGGAGACGGAAGAGACAGAGAAGAACCUGCAUCAAAACACAGAAUAAGACAGAAUGGUGCUAGAGGCAAGUAG